AGCGAACGCUGGCGGCAGGCUUAACACAUGCAAGUCGAGCGGGCCCUUCGGGGUCAGCGGCCGACGGGUGAGUAACACGUGGGAACGUACCCUUUGGUUCGGAAUAACGCUGGGAAACUAGCGCUAAUACCGGAUACGCCCUUUUGGGGAAAGGCUUGCUGCCGAAGGAUCGGCCCGCGUCUGAUUAGCUAGUUGGUGGGGUAAUGGCCUACCAAGGCGACGAUCAGUAGCUGGUCUGAGAGGAUGAUCAGCCACACUGGGACUGAGACACGGCCCAGACUCCUACGGGAGGCAGCAGUGGGGAGUAUUGGACAAUGGGCGCAAGCCUGAUCCAGCCAUGCCGCGUGAGUGAUGAAGGCCUUAGGGUUGUAAAGCUCUUUUGUCCGGGACGAUAAUGACGGUACCGGAAGAAUAAGCCCCGGCUAACUUCGUG
rnacentral:rRNA from 1 species